GAUGGUGUAGCUCAGUGGUAGAGCAUGUGCUUAGCAUGAACGAGGCCCUAGGUUUGAUCCCUAGCCCUACA
rnacentral:tRNA from 1 species